CGGCAACAGCUCAAAUUUGAAAUCUGGCCUCUUUCGGGGUCCGAGUUGUAAUUUGUAGAGGAUGCUUUUGGCGCGGUGCCUUCCGAGUUCCCUGGAACGGGACGCCAUAGAGGGUGAGAGCCCCGUCUGGUCGGACACCAAGCCUCUGUAAAGCUCCUUCGAC
rnacentral:rRNA from 1 species